rnacentral:rRNA from 1 species
UACGGAGGGUGCAAGCGUUAUCCGGAAUCACUGGGUUUAAAGGGUGCGUAGGCGGAUUUUCAAGUCAGAGGUGAAAGCUUCCCGCUCAACGGGAAAAUGGCCUUUGAUACUGUUAAUCUUGAGUACAGUUGAGGUGGGCGGAAUGUGUGGUGUAGCGGUGAAAUGCAUAGAUACCACCAAGAACCCCGAUUGCGUAGGCAGCUCGCUGAGCCGAAACUGACGCUGAGGCACGAAAGCGUGGGGAGCGAACAGG